AUGAACGCUGGCGGCGUGCCUCAUACAUGCAAGUCGCGCGAACGGACGAGAAGCUUGCUUUUCUGAUGUUAGCGGCGGACGGGUGAGUAACACGUGGAUAACCUACCUAUAAGACUGGGAUAACUUCGGGAAACCGGAGCUAAUACCGGAUAAUAUUUUGAACCGCAUGGUUCAAAAGUGAAAGACGGUCUUGCUGUCACUUAUAGAUGGAUCCGCGCUGCAUUAGCUAGUUGGUAAGGUAACGGCUUACCAAGGCAACGAUGCAUAGCCGACCUGAGAGGGUGAUCGGCCACACUGGAACUGAGACACGGUCCAGACUCCUACGGGAGGCAGCAGUAGGGAAUCUUCCGCAAUGGGCGAAAGCCUGACGGAGCAACGCCGCGUGAGUGAUGAAGGUCUUCGGAUCGUAAAACUCUGUUAUUAGGGAAGAACAUAUGUGUAAGUAACUGUGCACAUCUUGACGGUACCUAAUCAGAAAGCCACGGCUAACUACGUG
rnacentral:rRNA from 1 species